CAGCCGCCGCGGGAAUACGUAGGGUGCAAGCGUUAAUCGGAAUUACUGGGCGUAAAGCGUGCGCAGGCGGUUAUAUAAGACAGAUGUGAAAUCCCCGGGCUCAACCUGGGAACUGCAUUUGUGACUGUAUAGCUAGAGUACGGCAGAGGGGGAUGGAAUUCCGCGUGUAGCAGAGAAAUGCGUAGAUAUGCGGAGGAACACCGAUGGCGAAGGCAAUCCCCUGGGCCUGUACUGACGCUCAUGCACGAAAGCGUGGGGAGCAAACAGGAUUAGAUACCCCUGUAGUCCCUGUCUCUUAUAA
rnacentral:rRNA from 1 species